rnacentral:rRNA from 1 species
GCCUACAGCCACACCAUCCUGAAAGCACCUCAUCUCAGAAGCGGUUCAGGGCCGGGCCUGGUUUGUACCUAGAUGGGAGACCGCCUGGGAAUAUCAGGUGUCGUAAGCU